GGAGUGGUGUCAGGUGUUAAUUAAAGAGAUGCCUCGUUAAUGAGCAGAGCCCAGCUUGGUGCCUGGAAGGAGAAGGGAGAGGUGAGGGGCUGGGGCUCUGCUGGGGGCUCCAGGAGCUGGAGCACUGCACUGGGACAGCCUGGCCUGGCCCGGCACGGCACAGCCUGGCUGUGGCAAGGAGGAGCUGGGCAGGCAGAGCACUGGGAAGGCCCUGGAUGAGGCUGUGCUGGAGCUGAAGCUGCUGCGUGCUCAGGAGCCACUGGGCCAGAGUCUGGUUUGAGCCGGAUGAGUUUGGAGAUGUUUGAGGAUGCUUAAGAAAAAUCAGAGACAGGCUUUUUCUCACCACUUAGCACCACUUCGCGUCCUACACUACUGCGAGCAUCUCUGGUACGAGAACAAUGACGAGCCAAGCCAAGAACACCGCUCUGGCAGCGCUGCAAGCUAUUUCUGCACCAGACAGCUGGUAGCUGCUAAAUUUCUCCUCUUCUUCUCCCCUCCUCGAACUUUGAUGCAUGAGAAAUUCCAUGCACAGUGAUGUUGCAUCACUCAGAGCCGGGUGCCGGGCAGAGGAGCCAUCCACACGUCCCCCCCACACAGCUACCAGCUGCGGCCCUGGUUUGAUGGGGGCCAGGCCAACUGGCCCCCCAAAAGCUGCUAGGAGCACAGCUAUGAGCUCAAACACUACAGAAUUAGGCAUGGUUUGAGGAGGGGACCCACAGGGCCCACGCAGCUCCAGCCCACUUGCCCACACCAGCACCUACCUGGCUUCUUCUUGUGCUUCUUGCCUGCAGAGUGUGCUGUGCGCCCUGCUUUGCUCUUCGGGGCCACUACAUGAGAUGACACAACAAAUCUGAGUGCUGUGAUGGGGGCAGAGCCCCCAGAGCCCACCGAGCUGGGCUUGGUGGUGGCUAAUCCACCAGGAGAAGUGGCUGCCCCUGGCCAGGAUGGUGCCUGUGGGAGCCCUUUGCUGCGUGGCGUGAGGCAGCAAGGAAUUACGGCGGUGUAGGCGUUAAAGGUCGUUGCUUCAGGACAGAAGCUUGGGGUUUUGGUGCUUGGGGAGUUUUUGCUGUUGUCAUUGUGAGGUUGUUGUGGGGUUGGGGCCUCCUCAGGUCUCUUUGGGUCCCCCCAGCUCCACGGCAGGCUGUCCUGCUCAUCCACAACUGCUAGUCCCAAAAAUGUCUCCAGUAAAACCUCGGUGGGAUGAGGAGAACGGAGCUGGGACAGACCCUCUGAAGAGGAGAAUGGAUUGUACGAUGCUGGGAGAUGCUGAGGAUGGGUGUGUUGUCCAGGCCGAUGGGCACUGCGGGAGAAACCUGCCAUGUUUCAUCCUUGGGAAAGGGCCAUGGCCUUACCUUGAAUGCUCUUGGGAGGCUCUGGUGGCUUCAGCUUGGGUCCAAGGGCUGCUGCAUUUGUUGGGCGCUGAACAGCUUAAGGGGGUGUUAGGUAGAAAGAACACCAGAUUUAAUACAGAUCCUGCACUCGCUUGCUUGAAAAGGUGACAAAGGGACCAGAAGUUCUAGGCAGGAAUCUAGGGAGGGCUGGGGAGCUGUGUGUGGUUGAAGAUGCAUUGAGGCAGGGAUGAGAGACAAAGUCUCCUGGAAAUUAGAGUCUUCUAGUACUAAGAGAGGCAGAGAAACUACUCUUCAUAAUUUUCUCAUAAAUCUUCUCUCAAAACAUAAUUUUGUCUCUCUGUGAGGCUAGAGAGGUCCAAAAGCAUAACAGUUCCAAAGAGCCUGAGUUGCAGCACUUUGUGCACACGAGUUGAGAGUUUCCAGACGUCCUGGGCCCAGCUUCAGUUGUUCUGCACUGGAAGAGGUGCUUCUGUCCGCAAGGGAGCUAACUACAGGCACCUCAGCUGGAAAAAGGGGGCUGAGCACCAACAGGCAACUGCCAAAGCAUGCCAGUGGGAACCCUGAGGAGGAGAAACUUCAGCCCCAGCAGUCAGCACGAAGCCUCCCAAGGUUUCCACUGGGAGCUUCAUAGCUUGCCUUUGGUAGACACACGGGAGAAGUGAAGCAAGGAAAUCUGUAAGAAGGCAUCUACGCUGUAAAGGACACAAGCCUAUCUGUUUACAAAGUUGUUCUGCUCUACAAACAGACUCUGGUCUCGGGAGACAAGAGGAUUUCCAUGAUUCUCUCUGUUCACCCCAGCAGCAAGCUGAGAACAAUCUUCUGUACCACUUAUCGUCCUCAUCUUUCAUGUAUGCAAUAAACCCCGAGGCUCAAUCCAGCCUCACCAGAUUACCAGCUGCGUGGAGGGCAUAGACAAACUCUGAGCUUCUCCUGAGCAGGAGGAGGAGAGAGAUGCAUGGAAAGCAGAGAUGUGGAGCUAGGAACUAAAGCAUUUGCUGGGUGUUGGGGCACUUGCCAGCAGGACCCAGCUCAACCACGCGUCUCCUACCUUCUGAUGCUGUGCCAGCCUUGGCCGGGGGAAAGCCCAGUUGCAGUGGGGCAGCCGCUGACAAGCUGGUGUAGUCUUGUAGCAAUCAAAGAGGAAAACACAUUAGGAGGUGUGUUGGAGGAGCUGGAAACCAGCUAGGAGCUUGGCUUCUCUCUGAUGCAGAGCCAGAGCUCUGGGGGACAAAACUCAGCCCUGCGGCUGUCCCUACAAGCAGGUUUUCAUGACUUGCCUGCUUGGUGCAAGUGCUACAGCCCCUCUGAAAGCAUGGCUUUUGGUCUGUGUGUUUGCACAAGGGCUUUCGGUGACUGGUUUCCACCCCUCUUUGCUUUGAGGAGCUUUGUUUUAAACACCACACAGAGAGAUAGCACAGGUAUUUUAUGAUAGAGGCACCAAGUCCCAGUUUCUAAUUUAAACUUCUAGGCUCUCCUUCAGGCCCUGCUCUUGCCUUGGAAAUGCCACUUAAAGAAUUUGCAAGCCACUGCAGAGGAACUAAAACAGCAGAAAAUUUAUAGAUCACUUCUUGUUUGAUUUCUCCGCAAACCCUCACCCCCACGGGCUCCAUGGCCCUCCUCGUCUCCUCAAUAUUGGUAACAAUCUUCAGGUUUGCUAGAAAACAAACCAAGGAAUACAAUUUUAAAAGCCAUAUUAUUAAUUUCAAGCUCCAGUUGGGUAACAUAAGGAGGAGGAGGAAAAAAAAAAUUCCUUGAUCCUUGCCAAGUUUCAAAGGACAAACCCGAGUAGGAGAGAAAUGUGAUUUCCCAGCCUCGUCAAGGGGAUAAUAAACAAUGCAGAAUAAAAAAGAAAAAAAUCUUUUUUUUUUUUUUUUUAAAUGACGAGCUCUAAAAGAAGGUGAUAGAUGUUGUCCUUUUCAGCUGGAAAGUGGAAACCAAUUGAUAUUAAUAUGGUGUUAAAGAGAAUAUGAAGAAAGCCCUGUGCAAAUUGGCAAGGGUUUAAUUAGAGUCACAAUAAAAAACAGCCCUGGAGGCAUUUUGCUUUUUAGUCAUUCACAUACACCUCCACUCGAUCGCAUUUACAGAGCCAGGAAAAUUAUUAAUGCUCAUUAUCCUGAGAACCUUUCCCUUAUAGCUCUGUGACAUUAAUGGACAGUUUUACAUUUUGGGAGUGGGAGAGGCUUGUUUCAGCCCCAGACCCCUUCCAUACGAAUGGGAAGCACUGGACGUGUCUUAUCUGUGGGGCUUUUAUCAGCCCUGGUGAAAACACUAGGUCUUCGUGGGUUUCUGGUUAAGUAGAAUCAAGAAGUCAGAUUUUAUGGGGAAAAAAAAAAAAAAAAAAAAACAAAAAACUCUGGGCAAGUAAUGUUUGGAAACAGCACAGGAGUAGUGGGGAAGGACCUUGGAAAAGCCCUUUUCCUUAAUCACAUGCCAUGACCCUUCUGGGCUUGGUUUUGGUUUUCCCAGAGGUAAAUUGGCACUGCUGGAAUUACCAGGUUACAAACUGUUGAGGGUGGAUAAAUGGAAGCAGGAAAAAAGUUCCUUUUGCUUAUACUGAACGUGGGGAAAAUUGUAACAAAUGGCAAGGCAGAAUUUCACAGGCUUCAAGGAAGGUUUAGAAAUAACAAAUCUGCAGAAGGCAAAUGAGAAUAGCACUUAAUUCAUCCUCCUUAGGGUAACUGUGAUUUCCCUUCGUGCUACCCAUUUUGGCAGCCUUGAGUGCGUUCAGACCACAGACCGUGUCCAUAAACUCAAUCCUUUCCCCCUCUCACCGCAUGACAGGCAAAUGGGCACAGAAGCGUCCUAUGAGCAUGACCACAGCUCCACCUUGACCACAGAAAACACCACGAGCAGCCAAAGGAAGCAGAUGUCUAGCAGAUCCAUGCAACCCAGAGACAACCCAAAUCUAAUCUACUCCUCUAAGUCUACGUGCUAUGCUGCUCUCUGCCUUGCUGCUACCCACUAGUGUGCGGAGGCAUGAGGGAGAAGGGAAAAACACAUCAGUCUGGCUUGAAAUACCUGUUUUUUUCUGUCUCUCUUUCACGGGCACAGAGGCAGCGAG